GCAGUAGCUAUGCCUAGAGUAUAGACUAGCAAGCAAACAUGGAGCAAGACAGAAAAGUCAGAAAAUGCAAUAUAAUACAUAAACUAAUUCAAUGGUAAGAACAUUUGGGAGUAGUUUGAACCAGCCUCAAAUGAAAUAAAUUACGUUUAAUUAAAUAUUUGUGGAUAGGUGCAGUGAAAUGUGUUGUUUUACAGAUAGGUGCAGUGAAAUGUGUUGUUUUACAGAUAGGUGCAGUGAAAUGUGUUUUACAGAUAGGUGCAGUGAAAUGUGUUGUUUUACAGAUAGGUGCAGUGAAAUGUGUUGUAUUACAGAGAGGUGCAGUGAAAUGUGUUGUUUUACAAAUAGGUGCAGUGAAAUGUGUUGUUUUACAGAUAGGUGCAGUGAAAUGUGUUGUUUUACAGAUAGGUGCAGUGAAAUGUGUUGUAUUACAGAUAGGUGCAGUGAAAUGUGUUGUAUUACAGAUAGGUGCAGUGAAAUGUGUUGUUUUACAGAUAGGUGCAGUGAAAUGUGUUGUUUUACAGAUAGGUGCAGUGAAAUGUGUUGUAUUACAGAUAGGUGCAGUGAAAUGUGUUGUAUUACAGAUAGGUGCAGUGAAAUGUGUUGUUUUACAGAUAGGUGCAGUGAAAUGUGUUGUUUUACAGGGUCAGCCAUUGUAGUACAGCACCCCUGGAUCAAUUUAAGGUUAAGUGCCUUGCUCAAGUACACAUCGACACAUUUUUCACCUUGUCGGCUCGGAUAUUCGAACCAGCCACCUUUUGGUUACUGGCUUAACGCUCUGCUACCUUCUGCCCUGAAGAAUGUCACAACUCUGAUAUGCUUCCACUGAUUUAUUGAAAUGCACAAACAGCAAAAGUUUAGAUCCCCCAUUGGGAUCUUUCGCGGUUCCUCAGCUCAUCGACAUUUUGUGAUGCCUAACUGCCCUUUUAUGGAUUGAAGUGAAUUUGUUUUAGGUGAGAUAUUUUCCAGAAUAUCAUAAGUAACAUCACAGUACACAUAUUUUCUAUUAGAGAUCCCAUUUGAAAUUCCGAUGUAACAGUUGGGGCAAGUUAAUGACAGCACUGCUUCUUUUAAAACAAUACCUUAAGCUAAACACAAACAUUAGUAACCAUAUUCACAGUACAUUCUUGGGCUAGUCAUAGCAGGGGAUUAAUCAGAGAAAACAUUUCAUUCAAAAUAAAAAAUAAAUAAAAAAGAAUGUCAACAUAACAAUAAGCUGUGAUCUGAUUAUUCAAAAUGCCAGAAGUGUCCAUUAACACUGAAGAACUAAACAAACCAGGCCAUGGUGAAUUGGUGAACCAUUCUGUAACAUAACAGUGAAAAACAUCGACAUAAACGAUAGACUGGAUAAUCCAUCAAUACUAGACUGCAUGAUCUCUCAUUCUACUUCAGAGGCAACUGAUACCAAGAGGUGUUUGAAUCUAGUAGGAUAUCUCUAUGCUAUAUUACGUCAUAUUUAAACUCAGUUUUACACAGAUGCCCCAUUGGAAGACCCACCAGGCUUAUGUGAGUAAGACAUAUAUGGUAUCAAAUAGUCCUAAUAAUAUAAGGCCAAGACGGACUGGCCAUGGGGACCCUCUUUGACAAGGGCUGCAAACCACUAAUAUAGACACUGAUAGUGCAGAUUGUGGAUACAUAAGGAUAUAUCUAGAUACAUGAGGACUGUCACUGUACACACAUCCACAGCUACAGGUGAGAGAGGAUGGUGUCUCAUUUCACAUGGUCUCCGCUCCAACUAGUUCGGUUCAUUUUUUCAGGGACAUCUUGCGAAGACCCUUCAUCCGAUACAGCAAGCCGUCGAUGAAGUCCUGCCAGGAAACAGUGGAGAAGAUGUGAGUGAGAGGUGGUUAUACUGUGUACAGGUUAAACAGUCAAUACGUGCAUGCACAACACAGUUUUAGGUGUGUUCAUGGAAACUUAGUGGAAGUAUAUCUCACUUGUUGUGGUUGUAAGAGCCAUUUUGAUAGGGUGUAUGUUUGGGUUUGUUUUGGGCUGUCACUUCUCACCACUAGAGAGCAGUCUCACUGGGGUAAGGGGUUGUGUGGUGGGGUCAGGUCCUGGGGUCGUGUGUAUGAGGGCCCAGGUAAACAAGUAGCAGUCAUGCAUGGGUCAAAGGAAGAGUCACCGUUUUUUACCGCACCUCACAAGAUAAUAAUCAAUCAUUUAGGGGCUGCUUAUAUUUGUCCUUUUACACACUUGUACAAGUGUCAGUGUGUCAUGGAAAUGUGUUUCUUGCAUAUCCCAACUCUCCCUGAGACACCCACAGGGAGUGGGGUCAGGGCCAGGGUCACCAUUGUCCAGCGCCCCUGGAGCAGUUGGGUUUUCACCUUGUCGGCUCUGGAAUUCAAACCACCAACCUUUAGGUUACUGGUCCAACGCUCUAACCUCGAGGCUAUCUGUCUCCCGUUAGAAAGAUUGCCUGUAUCAUUGGAUUAUUCAUUAAACGGUGCCUCACCCAUCAUUAGCUUGUCAAUAACAGUUUCCACAUCCUUCAUGAAUCAUGUAGGUAACUUUGAAAUAGCCAAUACCGCGGUAGUUACUAUAUCAGGCUUUUAAUUUCUCUCAGCUGAAUGUGCAUGGGGCUCAGAGGGAAGCUGCUUAGGGGAGGACGGCUCAUAAAAUGACUGGAAUGGAGUGUAACGGCUAUGAAUGGAGUGAAUGGAAUGGUAUCAAACACGUGUUUGAUACUAUUCCAUUCCGGACAUUAUUAUGAGCCGUCCUCCCAUCAGCAGCCUCCACUGCUAACUACAUUAUCAAAUCCAAAGGGCCUUGCCUCUCAAUACAAUUUGUUUGGUGCUUCCUUACCUCUUUGGGCUUGCCACAGUCUUGAAGAAGGUCCUGUAGAAAUAGAGAUGGGAAACAUGAACCCUUUCACUCUGACUCUUUAUUCAAAAAACAUAAGGUGUUUUUGACAGAUUUAGAACAGGGUUGAAAUAGUUUCAUUUCUCGUUAAAAUAGUGUGAGCGUUUGGUUGAGCCUGUCAAUGCCAGAUGGGCUGAGUUUUGCACUUUGGCGACCGUUCCAAUGCCAGCCAAAUUCAAUUAAGCACAGCUACAGUAUUUGCAGGAAGAUGAAUAGUGUUUGUACCCAGGUCUGAGUAGACCAAGGAUUUUGCGCUCACAUGUAGCUUUGCUCUCUGUUCUGCGUCUGACAGAUCCAGCAACUCAUCCAUGUCAAUUUCUAACUCUGGAAUAUCCUCCUCCUGAAAAAAGGGCAAAACACAAACAAAAAG
rnacentral:lncRNA from 1 species